CCAAUCGCAAUGAUGAUUUCCCGAGUAAUGCAUAGUUCAACAGAGAUUACUAGUCCAUGUUGAGACUUUAACCAUCGUCUUUCGCUCCUAUCUGAUUGCUUUG
rnacentral:snoRNA from 1 species